AACAAUUGUUUCGGCGGAAUAAAAUUGUUAGUAGAAAGUGCUGGACGACAAACUCGCAUUUCUGAUAAGCCCAAGUAUUUCUACCCCAUCUUCCGGCGAGGUUAUGAACAACAACUCGACACUUUCAACAGAGACCGCUGUGCAGUCAGUAGCUGACGGAUAAAAAGAUACUUUCUUAUGUUGAUCAAAUCAGCCAUACUUCCCCACCGGGGUUGCCAUCAAUUCAGCGUAACAUCUCUAUAUUACAUCCUGAUACCCGUACAUUUCAAUCAGUGCUGGAAAUGCAUGAGAUUGACAAAAUAUACAAAUUUUCCAUAUCUCGUUGGAUCGGGACUUGAUUGGAGGUAGUACUUCGUUUGAAAAAGUUGCAGAAGAUUUGGGCAGUUGUAUGAUUAAGAUCAAAUCAAAUUCCUCAAAUUGUUCGCUCGACUCUUUUCCACCUUACUGUACACCAUGAACAGGACAGAAUAGGGUAGGUCUAUAAUUUAAUUUUAAAAUCCCUUUUUGUUAGUAGGUUACCUUAAAUGAUUAAAAAAACAAUUUGUAAAUCGGUAAGUCCUACUAGAAAGCAUAAAAUAUCCAAAAUUAUCUUGGAGCUCAAUGACAGCAGUGCAAGUUCUGCUUUUGACAUAAAUAUUCGUGUAUCCUGUGAGAAAGGUGUUUCUGUUAUGCUAAUUUACAUAUGCUGAAAACGAGGAAAACCACUAAAUGCAUUUUUUAAUUAUUCGAUAUCGUAUAUUGUGUACCAUGGACGCAAUCGUAACGCAAAUAUUGCAAUCUGGACUGAAAUAAAAAUUUAGACAACAUCUAAUAUGCUCAUACGCGGGGAAACUAAUCGUUUCACUUUACUGAAUUUCAGUAAAGAAAAUAUUUAGAACAAGAUCUUGAUGAAAGUUAAAACCAAGGCACAAAUUGGUAAUGCACCACAAGACUACUAUGGUCUAGAAAAGGUAUACAUGUUUCGAGAAUCCUAUGCCAAUCACCCAUUGUAUAUCUUCAUUGCUUUUUCUUCUUUUCCUUAUCGUCCUCUUCUUCGUCUUCCUUGGGCAUAACGAACGGCUCAACAACUGUGAGCUCGGGCACUUUGACUUCGCCAUAUUUCGGCACUUUGGUGUAAUCGUGAUCGUCGAUAAUCCCAGCAAUCUUCACAUUCUUCACAGUUCCGUCCUCAUUUACCUUCACGUCAAAUACGACUCGCUUCGCACCCCGUCCACUGGUACUGUCCUCAGGCAAAUCAGCCGCAAACUGUCUACUGUGUUCAGAAUCAAGUGCAUGCAACUUUUGGUCGCCUAACUUUUGCGGCCGAGGCAGUUCCUUAAGCACUUCUUUGGUGAACUGAACUAUUUUUUUUCCUAAUAGUUUUGACUCUUUCUGCAGCAAUCCCUUCUGAUCCUGCAGUUGCUUCAGAGUGUCCGCAGAAGCGGCGUCUUGUCGGAAAGAGGGGUUCUUAGUAAUUUCACUCAGUUGUUUGUUGGCGUCAUUCAGUUUACUUUGGAUUUUGCUCUGUUUGUCUUGCAUCAUUUGCAAUUUCUGUUUAGCGCUUGAUACUUCCUCCGCUAGUACAAUUUGCUUUUCAAUCUG